rnacentral:lncRNA from 1 species
GCCAGGGCAUCACAGUGCCUCAAUGUAAGAACAGAAGAAAAGAAGAAAGAAGCCUGGUGACUGCUAGUAUGCGACAACAAUAAGUCAAUAUUUAUUCCAUUAAAUGGAUUCAUUUAAGAACAAGUGACCACAACCAAAUCGAACAAAAAUGCACCAUGUUUGCAUUUAAACAUUAGGCAGCCAGGUCUCAACUUACCAUUCCAGCUCUGCCCAGAAUGCACAGAAG